GGUAAGGAAAGAUGGGAUCUGGGGGCAUAUCAAGGCCCAGGACUCACCCUCCUGUGCCCCAGAUCUUAGGUCUAUCACGGCAGAAAGACUUUUGCCCUGCAGACUCAGAAGCAUCUGGAGCUAUGGGAGCUGCACAGAAAUGGAUCCUGCUAACGCGCCCGCAUGCUCUCAUAAUCGGAUCGGCUCAGGAACCAGCAGCAGUCCCAUUGUAAGACCAGGGCUUACAGGACGGGGCCCCAGACAGGAACAAAGGAAACACUCCCACCAACUCUUGUGCCAGGAAUGAGCUGAAAUUCUUGAAGUCUUUCAGCCAAAACUCUCAGAAGACUGCCCAUCAGGUGAGAAAACACAACAUGCAAAAUCCUGAACCAGAAAAAUCAUCCGGCAAGUCCGCAUCCAGCUAUGUCUUACCGAGGCAAACUCCAAAGAAGUUUUCCCUUUAAUCUGGCAUUUGAAACGAAAUGCUGCUAGGAACCCCCACCUCACCCACCCCACCCUUCUGUGUUGCCAUGACUACCCGAGUUCUCAGAACCCGAAAGAACUACCUCAGCAC
rnacentral:lncRNA from 1 species